UUGCUGUACCAGAUGCCUGGAGGACUGCCAAUGUGAUUUCCACUCAAAAGAAGGGCUUCAGCAGGGAGCCUGAUAACUACUGUAGGCCAGUGAGUUCUACUUCCACAUUUGGCAAGCUGGUAGGAUCCUUAAUAUAGGCUGCAGUAUAUAAGAAGAUGAGCUGAACUCAAGGAUAAGUCUAUGGAGAUGGAAACUAGACAUUUAAAGGUCCCAGAAAAUGAGUAUAAAAAUAAAGAUCAGACAUCAGGAUAGUGGAGCAGCUGUCAGAUGCAAAGCAAUCCCAUGGCUGUAAUGAUUAAGCUGUCUUCGGUUUGUUAUUUUUGUUGACUGACCAUUCACCACCAGUCGGGAUACCCUGGAGUCACAGGCAAGGGUGGACUUUGCCCAUGGCAAUAACAUACCUGCCUCCAUGAUGCCUUUAUCUCGGGGUCAGUUUGGAAUGGUCAGCAGAGUACAAGAAUCUAGCCUUGAACAUCUGGCCUCCAUAUCUGACUCAGAAAUCUCAGUUGGCUUGUUUGAAUAUCAGCACAAAAUGUUCAGGCUACCAAAUCUUCAAAGGAGACCAAAUCUUCAAAGAGGGAGGUCUGGAGACAAGAGAAUAUCUGGAGUUCCUUUAUUAGACUAUCUGGUCAGAGUAUCUUGCUUUGGAUUUGUCUGGAACAGAUUCAACUGGUUUUAUGAGGGCUAUCAGUUUCUUACUACAGACCAUGGGUCUCUGCCUCUGGAAUUAAGCAAGGAUGUGAUACAUUCCUUGAGAAUUGCACUCUAUUUCAUUACAAUUUAAUCCUAUAUGGUAUAUAUGGUUUUAUGUAUUUUAUAUAUAUUUUAAUAUCUAAAAUUCAAAAUCUUAUGUUUUUAAAAUCUAAAGACUACUUUCUCUUGAUUAUAUAUGUAUACAUAUAUGUACAU
rnacentral:lncRNA from 1 species